rnacentral:tmRNA from 1 species
GGGGACGAUCGGUUUCGACGAUCUGAGUUGAUCAUGGGGAAGCGGGUCGUGGACGCCAAGUGACCACGUAAAUACCCCUUGUGCAACCCAAUAAGUGCCGAAUCUAAGCGCACUGACUUCGCCCUCGCUGCCUGAGCAGCGACCGCGAGUCUGUCAGCCUGAGUUUGCUAUCGACUCAGUGCCUGGCAUCAGCUAGAUAGCCACUGGGGUGACCUUCUUGUCGUGGGAAGGUCGCCCGAGAUUUAACACGACUGAGCCCGUCAGGCGCUUGUCUGCGUGACGCCUGGGGCUGAGAAAAUCAUCAGCAGACUGCACCCGGAGAAGUCCAUGUGAAUCCAGAUCGGACGCGGGUUCGAUUCCCGCCGUCUCCACU